GUCUACGGCCAUACCACCCUGAACGCGCCUGAUCUCAUCUGAUCUCGGAAGCUAAGCAGGGUCGGGCCUGGUUAGUACUUGGAUGGGAGAGAGAGAGAGAGAGAGAGCGAGAGAGA
rnacentral:rRNA from 1 species